rnacentral:rRNA from 1 species
GAUGAACGCUGGCGGCGUGCCUAAUACAUGCAAGUCGAGCGAACAGACGAGGAACUUGCUCCUCUGACGUUAGCGGCGGACGGGUGAGUAACACGUGGAGAACCUACCUAUAAGACUGGGAUAACUUCGGGAAACCGGAGCUAAUACCGGAUAAUAUAUUGAACCGCAUGGUUCAAUAGUGAAAGACGGUUUUGCUGUCACUUAUAGUUGGAUCCGCGCCGCAUUAGCUAGUUGGUAAGGUAACGGCUUACCAAGGCGACGGUGCGUAGCCGCCCUGAGAGGGUGAUCGGCCACACUGGACCUGAGACACGGUCCAACCUCCUACGGGAGGCAGCAGUAGGGAAUCUUCCGCAAUGGGCGAAAGCCUGACGGAGAAACGCCGCGUGAGUGAUGAAGGUCUUCGGAUCGUAAACCUCUGUUAUUAGGGAAGACCAAAUGUGUAAGUAACUAUGCACGUCUUGACGGUACCUACUCAGAAAGCCACGGCUAACUACGUG